CUCGGAAUGGCAAGGGGCGGGGGUGGGCGGGGGGUGGGGGUGGGGUGGGGGUGGGGGUGGGGGGACUGCCUUUCUAUUUAGAUGGGAGAAGUUGCCGGAAUGUAUGUGUGUGUUGACGGGAAUGGAGACCCGAAGGGCAGUCCUGGUGUGAGGCACUCAGCAUGGCCUGAGCUCUGACACUGGCAGCUCUGGGCUCUGAGAUUCUUUCCAACCCGGGCUCUGAGAUUCUUUCCAACCCGUGCUUAUUUCUCCAGGCGCAAGAGACUGUGCCAGCGACAGCACGAGAAACACUGAAGUCCUUCAGAGGCACAAACUCAUCACUUUGCCUCUCUCCACCUGCAGCACCCACAUGCGGGGUCCUAGGAUACAAAAAUAAAACAACCUGCCAGCCAGGUUGAAGUGCAGUGGCUCUGUCACAGCUCCCUGCAACCUCGAACUCCUGGCUCGAAGGAUCCUUCCCACCUCAGCCUCCCACAAUGCUGGGAUUGCAGGCAGGAACCACCACGCCGAGCUUGUUGAGCAAUUUAAAAUAGUAAGUCCCCUACAGUGCAUAUAGUAAACACUCAAUAAAUGGCAUCUAUUAAUAUUCUGUCACCAUAGUAUUAUCUGUUGUUUAUUCAACAUACUGCAGUAUUCCCAUUGUGAUAUGUAGGUAUAGAUACCUGAAAGCUACACGUUAGGGCUGAUAGUCAACAUUUGAAGUGCACUAAUCAGCAGUUUGCACUGGUUCACUUUUGAAGGAUCUCAAUCAAGAACCCACCCUCCAGGGCAGGGCUGGCAGGCCCACUUUUGUAAACAGCACGUUGUUGGAACGCAACCAGGCCAUUUAUUCGCAUAUUGUCUGCGACUGCUUUUCCGCCACAGUGGUAGAGUUGGCUGGUUAUAACACAGACCGCACGUCCUGUAGAGCUAAACUCCUCACUAGCUGAUUCUUCACAGAAAAAGCUUGCAUGUGCCUGUUCGACAGCAAGCCUUUCCAACGCCACCAUCUAAAUCUGCACCUGAGAGCUUGUUAUUUAGCAAUAAAGAAUGUUAAAAAC
rnacentral:lncRNA from 1 species